UCUACACGUGAUUAGCGGUCCUCUUCGGGGUUGACUGCUUCUCAUUGUGGAGCAUCGAGGGCUUUCUAUUAAGUUGACCUUGGUCCACCGUGUCGUAUACCAACAGUCUGUGUGGCCCUCUAAUGCUACUUGAGAUGCCCGGGCUGAAUUGCAUAUUCCUUAUCCUUCCGUAGAUCCGACGGAUCAAUGACGGUUAGGACAAACCAUGCAAAUUACAAUA
rnacentral:snoRNA from 1 species